rnacentral:rRNA from 1 species
CACGUAGGCACCAAGCGUUGUCCGGAUUUAUUGGGCGUAAAGAGCUCGUAGGCGGUUCAGUAAGUCAGGUGUGAAGUCUUUGGGCUUAACCCAAAGCGUGCACUUGAUACUGGUGUGACUUGAGUUCGGUAGGGGAGUGGGGAAUUCCUAGUGUAGCGGUGAAAUGCGCAGAUAUUAGGAGGAACACCGGUGGCGAAAGCGCCACUCUGGGCCGAAACUGACGCUGAGGAGCGAAAGCCAGGGGAGCAAACGGG